GCCUUUCCCUUCCUAUAUCUCAAUGAAUCACUUCAUUAAUUCAUUCCACAUACAUGAACUAAGUGCAAAGGAAAUAUAUACGAAGAGCAAAGAAGAUAGAGACAAUGAAGACAACAGAUACCAGAAAAAAUAAAUAAAAUGACUCCAUUUUAGACUGUUUUGGCUUCAUUCUAGAUGAAAAUACAAGUCUAGACAAACAAAUACCUUCAACCAUCUAGAAGCUUGUCUUUAUAUUUGCAUACUGCUUGAUUCGAGAAAAAAAUAUAAAAUAGCCUAAAAUAAUAUGCCUAAAUGAAGACGUCUGAGCAGGUGGGGAGCUGAUCAAGGGAAAGACAAGUGGAAAAUAUUUGCUAAAAGCUGGUGGUGAUAUUCUUAAGCCAGGUCAAGUAGGCAAGUUUUAUGUGUUUGCUAGAGGCAGGGCACUGAUUCUUUCCUAGGCUUUCCAGCAAGCAUGGCACAGGGGGAAAUGAUAUUACCUAUAAAAAACACGAAAGCUUUUCCUUAUUUUAUUGCUGUUUCUGAUACUGAAACCAGAGACCAAUUCUCAUAAUCCUCGUCCAAUAAGUAGAUGGUUCUUCGUAGUGCGAUGAGUGACCCUCCAGGUGAGUUGCAUAGGGUAGUGGUGACAUCAUCUCUGAAUCACACCCAGGUUCUCCCCUAGAUCCUAGGUUUCACACACCGUGAGUCUUAAAUGUUUCUUGAAUUAAACGGGGCUAGGGAAGUUAAACAAGGAAUGGAGAAAGAAAGGAAUAGAUAAAUAAACAGAGGAUCAAGCUUGGACCAGUGCAGAUGGUAUGUUGUGAGUGGCCCACAAAAUCCAAAGUGGUACCUCAGAGAGACAAAAUGAUGAUGGUGGUGAUGACGACGACGACAAGUGCUGAUGAGGACGACGACGACGACGACAGCGACGACAGAGCGCCGGAAGGGGGUGAGAAGGGAAUAAGAAUCCCAAUCAACCACUAGGUCUCAGGCCCCGAACACACUGUGUUAUGCGCAUUUUAGUACUUAUUCCAGCAUUACUGCCUCUGAGCAGGAGGGAAGCCCCAGACCCACACAGUUUUAGACAAGGGAGAGAUGCUAAGAUAACGUCGCCAACAGCCCUCGUUUUAAAGGGAGAAAAGAAACGUUACAAGAUUAAGGGUCUGGCUAAAGGUCACGAAUCUAGGAAGAAGCAUCUGGCUGCGUUGCCGUCCAAAGAGACAAUCAGUUCUCAGUUCAGCGAUGAGUCAGAUGUGAGGGAGAUGUGCAUCCCAGAAUAUGCAUAAACAGAACAUCAGUGGCCUGAAUUCCCAGCUCUUCUCUUGUUUACACCCAAGCCUCACAAAUAAUGUGUGUAGAAGGAAAGGAAUUGCAUCUAAAAUUAGUUAUCUCUACACAUCUUGUCUGCGUCCCCAGGGCCACCCUGGAGGAGAAGAGGGGCUGGCAGGUUCCUUGCUGUGCUGCUGGGACACUCGGUACACUAGGACUCUGGCUGCCGAAAUACCCUAAACUGCAGUUAUUAAACACAGAUGCUGCUUGGCGUGCAAACAUCACGCUUAGCAUUGUGAUUCCAUCUGCAUUUAUAGUUAGAGUGGAGAACACCUGAUGAAAAGUGCUGUGUUCAAAGACGUCCAGUAUAAACUGCUAAAUAGAAGUGAAAUGCUGUUUCACUUGUGCAGAGGUCUCUGCCCGAGGAUGCACAGCACCGGCCCUAGUUUCAGUCAUGCCCAGGAGGCCUGCCCGGAGGGCAGGAGGGGCUGAUCUAGCAGAAGUCAACUCCCAAGAGAUAGUGAAGGGUCACCUGGGGAAGACAACCUUAUAAAUGAGGAGGGUGUCCUGACGCCCAAGCAGGAGCAAGUACAGCACCUGAAUUUAAAAACUCGGAUGGCCAGGUACCAGCUCCAGUCAGGUGCGCUGGCUCCUCCUGGCAUUCCGGCAAGAGUCUGGAAGAAACACCAGAGGACUUUCUCGCUAAAACACAUUUACAGCUUCUACCAGCGAAGGAGUGCAUUUCGGGGGCAAAGGUCAAAGAUUGCACCAGGUCUGAAGAUCCAGCUGCGUCCUUUGCACCUCCACCCGGAUGGAUGUCCAAAACGCAGCUGAAAUUUGAAACGGUUUCGGGCGUCUGGAGGCAACGACUGUGUGACUCACACCGAUUGCUCUCUCAGUGUCCCAUGUCUUAACGGCUGACAUCCACAUCAAUCUGGUUUCCCAGACCACCUCUGGCACCUUCAUUUUUUUAUUACAAAACUACAUGUCCAUCACUCUUUGAUGCCUUUCUCUUCUCCCCCACUCUCUACAUCCUCUAUCUUUUUAGUUUCUCUUCUGGUUCAGGGUCACUGCUUGUGAUGCUUAUUCUAACCAGAAACUUCUGUCAAAACCUCCACCUCCCAGCAAGAUUUUCGCCAUUGUCUCAAGUCUGGCAGGAUUCACCAGGGUGGACGGUACCAUGGCAGAUGCACACACCCUUGAGGAACCCAGGGGCAGAGGCAAAGCCUCAGCUGCAGCCCUGUGGAGCCACUUUGUAUCUGCUAAGAUUCUGAAUCACUGGCUAAUCAAAUUCAUAGUUUGUGGUAAACGUGUGCCACUUAUUUUCUCCUUGCUCCUCUAGACCUACUCACUACCCUUCGCCAUAUCACUCUCUGCCCAGAGAGGUCCCGCCCAUAGAGGUGGGGAAAGGCUAUGGCUGGAUGAGAUUUGGGGUGCUUGAUUUGUGACCUGUAAAGGCUCCAGCAUCUUCCCCCCAGGGCAGCUGUGGUGAAGCCUGUCUAUUAGAGGGUCCACGCUUCCUUGCUACUGGAAUGUUCCUGAUGUGAUUGGUCUUCCAUCUGGAGUGGGAACCUAUGAAAACAGACAUGCUUUGGACUUCGUUUAUAGGAUCACAUACCAUGCUGUGCUUUUAUCAUGGUGAAUCUAAUAAUUGCUGCUUAAUGAUAAAUCCAAUCAUGGCCAUCCAAAAUGUGUUUGUGUUUUAAAUUUAGUCCACAAUUGAAUAAUUACCAUAUUGUUUGCAACACUCAAACUAAGGUCUUGUGAAAUCUGCUUUUCACCUCCUUCUAAAGCCCAUUAUUAUUGGGUCAUUUCUGCCAAAUUUACAACACAUAUGACAAGUUACUAUUGGUGCUUUUCUGCUGCUUUGAAGAAAUGAUUACAAAAAAGAAUUUCUAUAAAUGCACGAGUACUGGGGUAAUGCACAUUUGUAUUUCAUUGGCAAAACGAUAUUUUCCACAACUCAGUGGCCUCAAAUGCAUCAAAUGUUCUGCCCAGCAAGGCUGCACUGUGUUUGGCUUUUAAAUGUGGGGGGGGGGCACACAAUAUUUUCUCACAUUGAGAAUUAUAUGCACCAGGAAGAAGGAUACUAUCUAGAUGGCAAAACAUAAGGUGAUGGAGAUAACAAGAUUCUAAGGAGAAAAUGUGGCUUUGAGGGGGUCUUGUGUCUGGGAACCUGGUCUAUAGCUGAAAGUGGCCUGAGACACUUUUCCUACGAGGCUGGAGCUAGUUCAGGUCUGACGGUUAAUCAUCUUCUGUAAGAUUAUCCAAUGUCCUUACUGAGCCACUCUGGGGGUACCCCUAAACUCCGACAAGCGGCAGCCUAUGAAAGGGAUUCCUCAGUGAAAGAAUUUCACGUCCUCUCCUGACUCAGUAAGGGGUAGAGAGACUGUAAGCCUCUCUGUCAUAAAAACUAAAUUUUCACAGGCCAAAGGACAGAUAUUUGAAGGAAUUCAAAUGGCGACCAAACAGCGAACUGUGAAGCGUGCAGCUGGGUCCUUGUUGCUGAUGUGUCGUUAACUGUCUGUGAUCAAAGCCAGGCCUCUCAUUUCUAGGCCCCUGGGUUACAAGCCAUCAUACUUUUCUAAAGUUUGAAGCACUCCCCGCCCCUGAGGACACAUCUCAUUUCUGCAAUAGCCAAGUAACCACUGCACACUCUUCUUUCAUCCUCUCCUCUUUUUAGUUUUAGAAAAUACACUUAAAAUUUAAAAAAUUCAAAUAGCCUGUCAUCUUAUGGACUCAACUAGAAUCUCCCAAACCAUUGCAGCCCAAUAAAAUCCUGUGAUGACAAGUAUGCCAUAAAGUUACUAUAAGAUAAAAAACAGGAGCUCCUAUUGUGGCUGCGUGGUUAAUGAAAUGGACUAUUAUCCAUGAGGAUGCGGGUUCAAUCCUUGGGCUCGCUCAGUGGGUUAAGGAUCUGGCAUUGCUCUGAUUCGAGCCCUAGCCUGGCAACCUCCAUAUGCCGCAGGUGUGGCCCUAAAAAAAAAAGACAAAAAAAGAAAUAAAACCUAUACACCGCCCUCUCUUUCCCUCUCUUUCUUUCUUUUUUGCUUUUUAGGGCCAAACCUGCAGCAUAUGGAGGUUCCCAUGUUAGGAGUUGAAUCGGAGCUGCAGCUGUCAGCCUAUAUACACCACAGCCACAGAAACACAGGAUCCAAGCCGCAUCUGCAACGUACACCCCAGCUCAGGGCGAUGCUGGAUCCUUAACCCACUGAGUGAGGUCUGGGAUUGAACCCGUGUCCUCACGGGCUCGUUACCACUGAACCACAGUGGGAACUCCAACACGGCACUUUCUUUCUCUUGAUCACUCUUCCGCAAUUUCCUCUCUGAGCUUCCUCUCUCUGAUUUGUUUUCCAUCUUGAUCCUCCAGUGAAGUUAAAGAUGCAGAUUUCACAGAUACUUUAAAAUUUCAAACAGAGUGAUCAGGAUUGAGAAGCACUUGUAUAUAGAUCAAUGAGAAAUGCAAAGGCAAUCAAUUUUCUCCACUUUCUAAUGGUACUGUUUUUGCUCUCUAAAUGAGGCAUUUAUUUCAAAACUCUUAUACAUAAAAACAUAAUUUUAAAAAACAAAACUCAAAGAAAAUUAUGCUUUUUCCACCUUGGGCUUCCCUUCUGACAAAACUUAAGAAAGCCUCACCUAACAGGAUAAAAUGGCAUUUUUAUGACAUUUAUAUUGGGCUUUCUGAACACAUAAAUUGACAUGUUCCUAGAUUUGUGGUGUUAUUUAGUUGUACUUCACCUAAACACUACAGCAAAUUUUCCAGUCUUACAGAUUUUUUUUUUCCCCUAAACACAUUGGAAUUUCCUAAGUUCAACACAAUACAUAACCAUUUGAAAGCAAAUAUUCACUAAAUUUCAAGUUGUAAUAGGUAAACCCAAGAUGUUUUCUCCAGUAAAUGAUAGACUAGAAUCACAUAUAGAAACUAAUACUUGUACCAAUUUACUCUUCUGCCCAUCCCCUUUCAAAACAUGCUUUUCCCUACAAAGGCUAAGUGCUGAAGAGGGUGUGGAGAAAAGGGACCUCCCUACACUGCUGGUGGAAAUAUAAACUGGUACAACUACUAUGGAGGACAAGAUGGAGGGUCCUUAUAAAACUAACAUAGAGCUACCACGUGAUCCAGCACCCCUGGGUAUGAAAACCGUAAUUCGAAAAGAUACACGCACCCUAAUGUUCACUAUUUACAAUAGUCAAGAAAUGGAAGCAAUCUAAAUGUCCAUCAACAGAGGAAUUAGAUAAAGAAGAUGUAGUACAUAAACACAAUGGAAUAUUAUUCAGCCAUUAAAAAGUCUGAAAUAAUGCCAUUUGCAGCAACACGGACGGACCUAGACAUUAUCAUACUGAGUGAAAUAAGUCAGACAAAGGCAAACAUCAUACGGUAUCACUUAUAUGUGAAAUCUAAUAAAAAUGAUACAAAGGAACUUACUAAUAAAACAGAAACAAACUCACAGAUUU
rnacentral:lncRNA from 1 species